CGAGACUGUGGCUCUCUCGUCUCUCAGGGAGCAGAGCAGAGUAGCGAGGGCAGUCUUCUCAGAAACAGAAAAGCAGCUUGGAGGUGUCAGUACAGCCAAAGAAGACGGUGAUGCAGCCAAGGUGAUGCCAUGGACCAACAAGAAUCGGCCACACAGACAGAAAGCUAUUCAACAGCCAUCACAGGCAUUAAACCAGCAAGGCAUUCUGCAGAUUUGGAACUUUCAAUCAGUUGCAGCAUUUUUCAAGAGAUCAAAGUUGUUUAAAGAACUUCUAGCAAGACUUUUUAGGGAUAUUGUAGCAAGUGUGAAUGGGGUUACUGGUGUGGUUGAGUCACAGGAAAGUUACAAAUAUAUAUUUUAAGCUCAGCAAGAACAGCAAACAGUCAAGUAAAUGCACAGCUAAGGCAAAGGACAUUUUGGGAGACGGAGGGAUUACAUUGGACCAUGGAAACAUUGAGGUUAGACUGCAUGCGCCUUAAUAAAUGGAAGCACCUAAAACACCCUGUGCAGGUGUUUAAUGUGACGACAUUAAUUGGAGACUAAGGCUGAUAAUGUAAAUGUCACAACCUCUUUUCAAGCGUAUAACUAACACAAAAAAAAGUGGCAAUGGUUCACAUAAAGCUCCAGCGGUGACGUCAUCAGAUUGUCUCCAGUGAAGCACCAGCGAUAAUGUUGUCACAAGUGGUGCUGGGUGUCACCCUGACCCUCCUCAUCAUCCUGACGGUCGGUGGUAAUGUGCUGGUGUGCGUGGCGGUCUGCGCCUCCCGACGCCUCCGCUGCCUCACAAACUGCUUCAUCGUGUCGCUGGCUGUGACAGACUUGCUGCUCGGCCUCUUGGUGCUCCCCUUCUCCGCCCUCCACCAGCUCACUAACGACUGGCCGCUCGGCCCCAUCUUCUGCAACUUCUACAUCUCCAUGGAUGUGAUGCUGUGCACCGCCUCCAUCCUCACCCUCCUGGCCAUCAGUGUGGACCGCUACCUGGCAGUGACCAUGCCUCUGAGAUACACCUCACUGGUGUUGCCAUGGAGAGUUGCUUUGGCCAUGGCCGGUGUUUGGACAGUGUCUGUGGCUGUGUCCUUCUUGCCGAUCCAAAUGGGGUGGAACACUGUUAAUGGCACGGUGCAGAACCAAGGGCCUUGGGCUCCAGAGAGAAAAUGUCGUUUUGAGCUGAACAGGCCCUACGUGCUGACUGACUCUCUUCUCACCUUCUACCUGCCUCUGGUGGCUAUGUGCUGGACCUACCUCCGAAUACUUCGCAUUGCACGGGCACAGGCCAAACGCAUCAUCAGUGCCCGACCCACCUGUAUCACGAGCUACAACUGCGGCGACAAUCCUUCCACCACUACCACUGUGGUCUCCAGUGUAUCAGCGGUGGCUCUGCGGGAGCACAAAGCCACGGUGACCUUGGCCGCAGUGAUAGGGGCUUUUGUGGUGUGCUGGCUGCCAUAUUUCAUCCUGUUCACAGUGUUGGGCCUAAAGGAGCACCCGGACCCAAGCACAGUAGCAGCAUUUCCAAUUGUGUUGUGGCUGGGUUAUGCCAACUCAGCCCUCAACCCUAUCCUGUAUGGAGCCCUCAACAGGGACUUCAGGUCAGCAUACAACCAUCUACUGAGAUGUAGAUGCCCCACCUACAUUGGGUGGAGGAGCCGGCAGGCGUCUCCCACUUUAACAGCAGCCAGAGAACAUCUUACAGAAGUGACACUGCUGUGCGACCACAACCCAACCACCUGCAGGGCCAGUCUAACAGAGCCCAGCUUAAUGCUUCAAGAAAUGAACAGUGGGACAGCCACAGCUACUAUUCAACUUACAAAUGGCACUGCAGCCACAGAUGUCAAUGGGAAUGAAAGGUCGUGCUGAGCCUGUGCUGGUGAGGUGUGCUGUAUUCAUACUGCGGUUGCAUCCAAGAGCCAGAUCCAUCCGCCAUAAGAGGAAGAGCAACAGACAGUCAAAAAGAUAGACAGAGAUUUACAGCCUUUCUAUUUGGAAGCCUUCAGUACUGCAGUAGAAGCUCCGGUAAUUGACGACCAACCACUUUAUCCAAUUCAACAACAACAAUUGGAGAAAAUUGGACCUCAUGUACACCACACCUCAUCAGCAGGCACACAUUUCCACACACAGCCGGCCUCUACUCGUUCAGGACCGAACAAAGAUGACGCCUCCGUGCAUGGAGCUAAGGGAAUCCUUCCACCUCAGCCAACCAUCACACAGGGUGACACAUGAUAUACUCAAACUAACUCUGGAUAAUGUUGAAACUCUGGAGGACCCAUUGAGACCUACUGAUUAACUUAUUGCUCAUUAAUUGUAUGAACUAUAUAAUUUAUGCUGACUCAAGAGUGCACUCCAGUGGAAACACAAAGUAUAACAAUUUUAACCUGGAAAUACAAAUGGGUGUUUUACAAAAUCAAAAGAAUGGAAGAUAAAUAGUUGAUAAAUAGACCAUUAUUAAACUUACCAUUUCAUGUCAAAUGUGUUGAAAUAUACGACAUGUGUAUGUAUAGCAUACAAAUUAAUGUUACGUGUCUACUUUUGGAAUACAGAAUGUGUCUUUAUUGUUGCUCAGUCAGUGGCAUAACGCUUGCAAGUGUAUGUAUUGUAUGAUAUUGUAAAGGUAAUUGAGGACUGGACGUUAUCCGUUACUCAAAAAUAUAAAACUGCAACCAUACUGUACCAAUAAAGGGCAGCUUCAAUAAACAAUCUAAUAUGUGCUUCCAUUUUGGAGGCAAUACAGAUGGACUGUAGAUAAGUAUGGAUAGGGAUUAUCAAGUGGGAUGAUGUAGAAAACACUGUAUGAGUGGUAAUACGAGAACAUUGGAAACAAUUCAUCACAGCUGUCAGCACACAUUGCCUCGAAUUAUUGCCACAUUAACAUUUAACCUUCUCCAUACUUCAAGCUAUUUCCUUUGAGGACUGACACAGAAGUGCAAAUAAUAUCCAUCUGCAUGUCAGGUAGCAGCUGUACACAAGUGAUAGAAGGAUUUUUACAAGCCAUUAAACCACAUGGAAACACUUAGUUGGUAUUUAUAACACCUCGGGUAGCUAUUCUUUCAAUUCAGCUCAACAGAUUUUACUCUAACCCCUCCCUCCUGUUAGCAAGGAAAUGCUCUAUUUCAUGUACAAUUAGACUAUAAACGUUAGUGAAAAAACACACAAGGUCAGGAUAACACUUGUGUAAAGCACUUAUACUGUUAGAUUAGGUGGAAACAGCUUUGCCUUUAAUUAGAGCUUUCAAUUAAUCCUGCAUUCGGUUAUUCUCAUACACAUACAGUACUACACUUACCUUAAUCAUAAAGGGAGGGAGUGGCAGCAGAAAGCAGUGUUGACAUAAGGAAUCAGCAGUGUAGAA